AUUGAACGCUGGCGGCAGGCUUCACACAUGCAAGUCGUACGAGUGGCGGACGUGUGAGUAAUGCUUGGGAAACUAGCUUAUGGAGGGGGAUAACUACGGGAAACUGUAGCUAAUACCGCGUCCCAUAGGAUGAGCCCAAGUGGGAUUAGGUAGUUGGUGAGGUAAAGGCUCACCAAAACGACGCUCUCUAGCUGGUCUGCGAGGAUGACCAGCCACACUGGGAAUGGGACACGGCCCCGACUCCGACGGGAGGCAGCAGUGGGGAAUAUUGCGCAAUGGGGGCAACCCUGACGCAGCCAUGCCGCGUGAAUGAAGAAGGCCGUAGGGUUGUAAAGGACUGUCAGCGGGGAGGCGUUACCCGAAGAAGAAGCACCGGCUGACUCCGUGCCAGCAGCCGCGGUAAUAC
rnacentral:rRNA from 1 species